AUAUUUGGACCUUUUAAAUACCCACAAAAAUAUUAAAAAAAAUGAAUCACAUAAAAAAACAAUAAAACUAACACAAAAACACAAGAACAACAACAAGAAUCACAGAGUUCAAACUUUUUCUGAUUACCAAAAUUUUCUCUCUGAAUUGGAAAGAAGGUUUAUAAUUGGGAAUUUGCAUCUAGCAUCAUGAAAUUCAAACGAGGGAGCAAUGUCGAAGUAUUGAGCAAAAAGGAGAUGCCUUCAGGCUGCUGGUGCUGUGCUAAGAUAAUCUGCGGUAAUGGCCACAACUACACAGUCAGAUAUGAUGCAUAUGAGGGUAAUGCUGAUAACGCCGUUGUGGAGAGGGUAUCCAGAGAUGCCAUCAGGCCAUGCCCACCUCCACUGGAAGUUUCAGAGAAUUUAAUUCCUGGUGAUGUCAUUGAGGUUUUUGACAAACUUUCUUGGAAAAUGGCAACAAUUACAAAGGUUUUGGGAAGGGAGUGCUUUUUAAUCAGGCCAGUCGGAUCCUCCCGGCAGUACAAGGUCAGAAAUUUUGAAAUCCGAGUCAGACAGUUUUGGCAAGAUGACAAAUGGGUUGUGAUUGGAAAGGGUUUGAACCAUUAUGAGAAUCGACAACGUGGUGAACUUUUAACUCUAAAGUUCAACCAAAAUUCAUACCUUAAAGCUCAGAAGAAUGUAACAAAGACUGCCUCCUCUCAUCUGAAGAGAAGAUCACCCUACUUUUGUUCUCAAGAUGAAGCAUAUGAUGGAUCUGCUGAGAAGUUUAGAGCUGGUGAUAAAGAGGGCAGGUGUCUCCGAGUAAUUUCUGCGAAUUUAUCUACAUUUUCUGAACAGUUAGAUGUUGAUUUACCAAGACGUAUGCAGGGUGGAAAAGAUUUACGUGCUUCUCUUUACAACAGAAAAACUGUAUUGCCUGAUGUGGAUGUGGAAAGGAGGAAACCAAAUGGUGAUGUUGGGCGUGCGUUUGCUGUGAACCUUAAAUCGAAUGAUGCUGAUAGUAUUACGUGCUCUGUUGGUAGUUGUAGUAUCUAUACGAAUGAUUCCAAUAAGUUACCUCCUCCUGUUUCAGCUAGUUCUACUGAAGAUUUUGAUGAUCAGUUUUCUGAUGCUGAAUCUAUUUGUCAAUUGGGAUAUAAGGGAGGAAUCUCUCUCCUUCCUGCUAAAGAAGAAUUGGCAGCAGAGAUCCAUAGGUUAGAGUUGCAUGCUUACCGUUGCACGAUAGGGGCAUUACAUGCAUCAGGACCUUUAAGUUGGGAACAAGAAGAAUUGGUGACAAAUCUUCGUCUUUCACUCCAUAUAUCAAAUGAUGAACAUUUAAUGGAGCUUAGAAACCUAAUUUCUGGAGAUACCAGCAUUCAUAUCAGAUGACAGGAAAUCUGGAACUGCGUCUUCUGAUUCAUAUUUUUCUUGUAGCUGUAGAAUCUCGAUGAGCAUUUUCAUUAAUGACCUCGCUCCACUGGCCAAAGUAGGAGGCUUGUCGCCUUGCUUUCAAGUCUCCAAAGAUGAGCUUGGGGCAUGCCAGCUUUCUCUCGGCCUAGACUCGAGGGCAAUUUAAGACAGCUUCUGAUGCUGCUGUUCUCAUUAACAUAUCCGGUCUCUUCAUUCGUCCAUGUCACUAUGUCAGGCCACCUGUGAGCCUUAGCUAUGUGUUUUGCUGAGGAUGUAAGACAAUCUUGUUGCUAACACAGGAUGACAUGUGAUUUGGAUGCUCGAAAGGUUUUAAUUCAAACAUUUUCUUCAGCGCGUCCACCUACAAAUUACUUAGUGAUAUCUUUUUUAUUCUCCAUCUGCUACAAGAUUAUCAUGUGAUCGCAGAUCUUUUUUCACAAUAUUCUUCGUUUCUGUGUGUUUUUUUCCUUUCUAUUUUCUGAUCAAGGGUAUUUUUGAAUGUAAAGUUCAGGAUAUUGAAAUUGUCCAUAAGCAUGGGAAGUAUAUUUUGAAGCUUAAAGUUCAAUGAAAAAGGUAAGCAUUGUUAUUGAACCAAUAUAACAACAAAUUUGGCUGGAGAGUAAACGGCUUGUGUUGAUUAUGCAGAAGCCAAAUGCAUUUUAAAUAACUGAUGAAUUCUAGGUUUUCUUUUUCCAGUUUUUGGAAAGUUCUUCAAAACAAACCAAGAUACUAAAAGUCAGCUUUGUUUCUUAUUGUUUCUACUUCUAAGGUGCAUCUGAAAGUUGUAGCUUGACAAAUUUUACAUUGUAAAUUUUCCAAAAGAUGUGAUUAAUAUGUACCUUAGCUGCAUAUUUUUCUCUAUUGAAGUGUUUGAAUACGCCAUUCACUGAGUUAUGGUGGUCCUCUUGCUGGAAUAAAGGUUGGUAUCUUAUGUUGAUCAGCAUGAAGUAUGCAAGUUUUUUCUUGAUAUUAUUCAGAAGCUAUAUCUUAAGUUGAUCAGCAGGACGUAUGCAAUUUUUUUCUUGAUAUUAUUCCUCAGCUUCUGAUUCGGAGUGUUUCAAACUUGCAAGUUUCAACCUCUAUUCUUCGGUCAACAAAUCAGUAACCAAUUUGCCAAAUCUUCAGGUGUAAACAGCAAGUAGAUGUCAAUGUAUAAGCUACUCGACUACCCUACAGAUCUUCAAUUCUUUGUGAUUAUUGUAGUUUUUAUAUGUAAUAGAUCUGACUGGUUCUCUAGCUUAGACUCAUUGCUUUAGCUUUGGCAACUGGAUCAUUUUUCCAUUUUGACCAGAGAGCAGAGUGAUGAACAAUAUGUUCCAAGAAAAGGCGAAUGGAGAACUGCGAAUAAAGCGUAUGAGUACGCUUUUGCUUGCCCUGAUCUACAAAAAUUGUCAACCAUGUUCUUUUACAGCAAGAGUUGAAUUGAGGUAGGCCAGAAAGGGUUAAAUUGGUUGCAGGAAGGAAACAAAGUUGUCUUUUUCUGUUAAUGGUGCUUUCGACGAAAACUAUAUAUCAGCUUGGCAAGAAACCAACCUGAAAGCUACAUAUCCAACUACCAGAAACUUUUGAUUAUGGUAAGAAUUGAUGGUUGGUCCGUGGUAUAUGCUCAUGAAUGUGAACUGCAAAAUAUUCCAGGAUGACAUCACGCUCGGAAAAAUUUCAUUGCCUCGGCAAUCACAAAUAAUUCAGCCAAAUCUGUGAUCACUUGUAUCGUCAUCCCCUAUGGCAAGUCUGGCAGUGAGAAAGCUCAUGCCAGAAAUUCGUUUGUUUUUUAUCACCAGAGAAUUCACUGCAUGAGAUGAGAUGAGACCGUCACAUGAUUUUGCAUCUCGUGAAGAUUUUCAUAUCUUGUGGAUAUCUAUAAUUACUAACUUGAGGAGAAGGUCUUAUAUGGAGCGGGUUCACCGAUUUGAACGUUAAGUGACGGUGAACCUGUUCCAUGUAAGUUACUUAGGGGUCUGAAGUUCAAAAGAACAGCCAAUUGUCCGCACACGCAUAACAGCACUGUUUUAUGGGCCCCUUGACAAAAGAAAAAACAAUUUAAGGGGUCCAGGUUUAGGUAUUGUACUUGCUAAUAAGUAGGGAUAAGACUUUUGGGCUUCAUGUAUCCCACAUUGGGUUGCAACUUGCAACCCACCAUCAGAAAUCAUAUUAAAUUUUGACAAGGA